UCAUAUCUCUUGAUCCUUAAGCUGAUCUGUAACCUUAAAUCUGUAACCCUAAACCCAUUGUUUAAUAGGUUUUUUAAACCCAGGUUUUUGUUUCAUUUUUCUCUCCUUAGCCAAACUUACUGUGAUCAAUGUAACAGGGAGGCCUCUUGCAGCACACCAGGGAAGAGUGAAUUUGGUGAAAUACCUGCGUUUUGUUAACCCAAAUCUUGAUUCUACAACGAGCUUCACUAAAUUUUCUGAGACCACAAAUGCAACCCAAUGCGCUCAAAACCUGGGAUGAUCAAGCUCUCAGUGCUAUGGAAAGGUGGUAGGAUGUGUCUGUGCAUUCCAACCUGCUGUGUUAGCACCUACCAGGUAUUUUAGGAUCUGACACACCAUGCUGAAAGAAUCAGAAUAAGACAGUGUUGAAACAAAGGACCAUGUCUAAUUUCAUACAGGAAGCUCUUUGUGCCAAAUUAGAGCCCUUUUUUCCUCGGACUCCAUUCAGACGCACGUGGAAGGCUUAUAUGGUAGAAGUGGAAGCCAAUACAAAAAUAUCAAGAUUUCUGUUUAAUAAUUUCACUACAUCCAAGUACAGUUGGUUGAUCUAUUAGCAGCACCCUUGUCUCAUGUACAAAGUCUGUAAGGGAAGUAGGGUUAUAUGUUCAAUCUCACACUGGGAAAGAGGGGUUACUGUGAGCCUGAAAGGUGAGAGGAGGUCUUCACGGCAUGCUGGGUCGAUGUCAGACAAUGAGAGUGCUCUGGGCAAAGCUACAGAAGAAGAGCUAGAUCCUGUGGGGGUAAACAAGACAUGUUUGAAGCUCGAAAGGGAACCAUGACUAUGGAGAGAGGGGCAAAGCACUGGGAAGAUGCACGACAGGAUUAAAAAAAAGUAAAUCUCAGAGAAAAAAUACUUCAUGGUUUUUGAAUAUUGCUGAGAAAGCUUAAUAACCCACUCAGAGAUUGAGAGAAAUCAAAGACAUCCUAUUGGUUGCAUCUAUUUUUUGUUAAAUAUUAAUGAUUUGGGACAUUCACACCACAAACAGCAGUGUUGUUUUAUCCGAGAGGACAAAUCAUAGCACAACAAGCAGCUGAAAAGAGGCCAAAAGGACAGUGAGUAUCUCAUCUGGUGACCUUCAUAACAUGGAAAAAAACACAUCACAACUUUUAGUUGCAGGGAUGCAAAUAGCCAAAUGUCAUUCGCACAGUUGCUCUGGAGUUCCUGCGGGGCUGGAUGCUCUCAGGGAAUUGCUUUAACCAUUCAGAAAUGCUUACUGUUCUCUAGAUAAUGCCAAACUUGACUUGCCUGACAAGAAAUCUGCCUGUUGUACUGUAUGGUGACUUGUAACAUCUAUGUAUUUUUGUUUGUUAAGAGGUGCAUGCUUGUAUUCAGAGUUGUUUGCAUAUGGGAUGAUGAGGAAACAGAAUACCAGAAAGCCUGCACCUGCAAUACUUUACUGGUAAACUGACCACGCAAGGCAUGAGGCCAAAAAUAACUAGGAAGAUUCACUGCAUGCAGUGAAAAAAUGGAAUGAAUGUUAAAAUCCAAAUUCUGCUAGACUGCCUUAUGUAGUAGCUGGGUAAACAAAAUCACAAGUCACAUUUGAUGCAGAAUCAAAUGAAGAAGAUGCCAUUCUGAACAUCUCCUCUCUACUGAGGAGCAUAGCAAGAAGCAAUAGCCUCCAUCAGCAACAGGAAGCUGAGAGAAGCCAUAAUAAUAUCAUAUUUGUUUGGUACAGAGUGAUGUCCAUAUACAUUCACAUCCCAAUCAGCGGUGCAAUUACUGCUGCUCACAUCUCCAUUUCAUUUCCUUGGCUGAGCACUUCUGGGAUUUUGGACUGUGAUUGCAUAUUCACUUGGCUCCUCCAUUGGUAUUGUGUAGAUAUCAUCAGCUCUUAAUACUCCCAUGCUAUGCAGAAGAAAUAAUUUACAUCUGAGUGGGUCGCCAUGGCUACUGGCUACCUGACUGUUUACUCUAUCUGCAAGAGCCAAAAACUGAAGGUGCUUUGCAGAAUUCAGACGAGGAUAAACUGUUCACUAUUUGAAAUCAUAGCUGCACGUAACAGCACAUGCUUGUGUAGGUUUGAUUAGGUACAAUCUCUCUCUUCGUGUUCUGGAUGAAUUUUUAGAGACUCUCAUUCUCAGGGUUGCCAGCUGACUCCAAAGGAAUGACUGUCUCUAGAGGACACUUUACAUGACAGUGAGCAGAUUAAUUAUACCUGCAAAUGGUUUAAGGUGUAGCAUAAAGUCUAAAGGUUUUCCAUUAAAAUUAAUUCUGUGCUAUUAGGAAAUCCUACUGGAGUUGUCUGAAGCAAAUCUGGUGACUUAUGCUGCAGUAUUUUUGGAAGAGUACAGAAAAAUUCCUAAACUGGGACUAAUGCAUAAGGGUGCCAAUUAAAUGGGAUUCAGAUUAUUUUCAUGGCCAUAGCUGGAGCACUACCAAGACCACCACCACCACCUCAUAACAGGAGUGACAGCUUCCAAGAUUAGGUAAGACUGAAUUUUAUACUAAGGCAGAGAAAGCAAGGAAAAGAGUUUAUCUGACCUUCUAUAAAGAUCCUAAAGGAGAACAGAGAAGGGAAAAUAGGACACACUUUUUUUUUUCUACUGGUAGGUCAUC